UUGUAUUUCCUUCUAUAUGAUAUUUAUUGAAAAGAGUGAGGAGAAAAUAAAUAAAAGCAUAUCGAGAGCAAAACCGUCGUUCAACAACUAUCCAACUAAGAAAAUAAGGACUUUUUCUACACAGAACAUGAAUCAGAAUGCCAAAUCCUCCGGUGAAAGCAAAUAGACAAUGAUCGAGCACGCCACACGAAGAAAAGGUGAAGAGAAACUAUUUUUUUUCAACUUUCCUAACUUUAGAAUCAAUCUUAAAAGUCUUUCUCAAGAUAGAUCUAACUAUUACUAUUUUUUUUUAUCUUCUGCCGCUAAUAACAUUACUGGCAUCGGAGUUUCUUCUACCCAAGACUCAUCGGUCGACAACCAGAUUUAUUCUUUUGUUAUCGUAUGUGCUACUUGAUUCCUCUAUCGUGGAACGAAGUCGAACCAACAAUCUUGAAAGUCACUCAACAUCAUUCUUUCAUCUCAGGCAAAGAAUUCUGGUUGGAUUAAGGAGUUCUCCAACUUGGUUACAGUGCAGGGGGCAGGAUGGUUCGCUCUGUCGUUCCGAAUAUACGGCUUGGCGUGGAGUCGACAAUGACUCCUUCAACUAUUGUUCCAAACUUGCAAACUCAAAGGCCCCUUGAAGCUGAAGACAUAUGUCCUUUAAAUGGACAAGAUCAGUCUUUUCGUCUCGUAAAUGAACGAGAAGCGACAAGUGGUCUUACUAGGCUCUCGUUAACCGGACAAAGUCAAUCUAUCUGUCCCAUAAAUGAACAAGAUGGGACUCAUGGCCAUCCUCCUCAGCUCCCUUUAGAAGAAUCACAGGCAAAUUCGAUAGAUCAGAUACAGCAGAUUAUCCAGAAGAAGGUUUUACUUGCUUACAUAAAGCAUAAGAAUUUAGUGAUGACUCCCCGGUAUGAUGCUUUGUUUUCUUUAUGAACUGUCUGCAUUUAAAAGUCUGUUCUCGGUGUAUCUGCAAAUGCCCGCAGAUUUUGCGACUCGUAUCACAUUACGAUGGCUGUCGAGAUGCUACAUGUAGAAUUUGCAGUCCUCGUAGGCAUAGUCCUUUAACUGAUAGAUUUAGUCCUGACUUUCAACAUGUAAAAAGAGGUCUUGGAACAGUUUCGGGUAAAGGAGAUUCCGGUCAGCCCGGAUGUGGUACUUCAGAAGCCAUGCAACCAUUGCCAAAGCGUUUGAAUCCGAAAAAUGGUAUGUUUUAUGCAAUGGCUCCAUUGAAGGCUCAACCAAGUUUUGCCGAGAUUCGACCCUUGGGGAAGUCGCCAAAGUGUUUAGAACUUGCAGCUGGUUGUGAUGCAGAGCUACAAACAAAGACUGAGCUUAUUGUGCAAGAAUCAAAUUGCAGAAAGGAAAUAACAUUCGAUAGUCGAAAACGAAGAGGUGUGUCCUUGGUAGAAAUUUCACAGGAGAGCAGAUAAUGGAGCAUAUAUCAAGUCUCAGGGAGGGCAUUGACUAGGAUCUAGCGAUGUCGCUAAUCAUGAUUGACAGACUCAGUAGUAGGCUUCCCUAUCAGACUACUCAAACCGAUACAGUGAGUUCAGUGUGAUAAAUGUAAAUGUUGGCAAUGUUAGUGUUAAUGAAUGCAAUUGUGUGCUGUGCAUGGGACAUGUUGAGCACACGUACAGUUGAGAGAUGAUGUGCAUGAUGGAUGCGCAUACAACUGAGAGUUGAUACGUUGCAGCUCAGUUGGUGGUUGCUUUUUGAGGAUUCUUGAAGGUUUUUUCUGAAAGUUCUUUGGAAAAUGGUGGACCUACAUCAAGCUGGUGUUCAGUCUCCGCUGAAUACCUAAACAGGAUGUUAUAAAGCUUACUGAGUUAACCUACCUUCUUUGAAAGCA